rnacentral:rRNA from 1 species
AUUUUGGACAAUGGUGGAAACCGUGAUCCACCUAUCCCGUGUGUAUGAUGAAGGCCAACGGGUAGUAAAGUACUUUGGGCAGAGAAGAAAAGGUAUCCCCUAAUACGAGAUACUGCUGACGGUAUCUGCAGAAUAAGCUCCGGCUAACCACGUACCGUCAGCCGCGGUAAUACGCAGGGUGCAAGCGUUAAUCGGAAUUACUGGGCGUAAAGCGUGUGUAGGCGGUUCGGAAAGAAAGAUGUGAAAUCCCAGCGCUCAACCUUGGAACUGCAUUUUUAACUGCCGAGCUAGAGUAUGUCAGAGGGGGGUAGAAUUCCACGUGUAGCAGUGAAAUGCGUAGAUAUGUGGAGGAAUACCGAUGGCGAAGGCAGCCCCCUGGGAUAAUACUGACGCUCAGACACGAAAGCGUGGGGAGCAAACAGG